GUGCUCGUGGUGUAACGGUUAACACUCAGCUCUGUGGAAGCUGUGAUGAGAGUUCGAUUCUCUCCGAGCACCCCG
rnacentral:tRNA from 1 species